AAUCGCUAAAAUUUGAAAGCACGUACAGUUCACACGUUUAUUUUACAGCUCGAAACCAGACCGAUAAAUACAUUUUACAAGUGUUUUCAUUUGGGUUCAUUGUUCGCAGCAGCGAUAAACAGUGCCAACACGUAUAAUGGGGAGUUUCUAUUCUCGCUGCAUGCAAUAUAUUUGCCUCUGAAUUCUGUUGCUGAAACGGUUGAUUACAGUUAAAAGGUUCGAAAGUGGGAACGGCAUAUUGUCCUUUGCUGAAACGUUUGCACCUCCGCAUUAUGACCAAGCUGCAAAAUUGCUUCCUAAUUAUUGUUUUUCGUUUGGCGUUUUUCCCAAGUGCCUUUUCGAUAUACAAUGGAACGGAAGCAGAAAUCCACCAAAAUCCCUAUAUGGCAGCUGUAUUGUACAGCAAUGUCACUGGUUGGAAGAAUUACGCGUGCGCUGGAUACAUUAUUACUCCCUGGUGGAUAGUCACUGCCGCCCACUGCUGUACCAAAUGUUUGCCACCCGAACAUGGCAUGUCCUGGUGCAGCAUUUUAGUGGGUGCCUGGAAUCUGAAAAGAAACAGCUACCCAAGAGCACACAUAAUGAAACUGGAAAAUGUGCUGCAGCAUCCACUUUACAAAGACCCUGUCACCAUAAAACCUAAUAGAGUGUACGACAUCUGCCUGCUGAAGACGAGAAAAGAAAUCAAAUUUAACGAGGAUGUGGCUCCAAUGCGGUUUCCAAGGCAAGGCUUAGGAAUUAAAUACCCAAAAAAAUGCUUGGUAAUGGGGAUGGGGCGUGACAGUUUGCUACGGGGUAGAAUCUGACGAAAACAUUCCUGAAAACGAAUUCAGUGAUUCUCUACCUCCAAAUUCAUCUGACGAAGCUUAUUGGUGGUUGAUCAGAACCCCUACCGCAAAACUCCACUACUUAGGCGGAGUAGAAAAGAAAAACUCUACGUACUGUGAAAGCCGUGGACUGCGUCAAGGCCAAGCGUGUGCAAUAAAAAAGGAUGCAGGACCAUAUUCUGGAGACAGUGGAGACCCUUUGAUCUGCAAGGCGGAGGAUGAUCGUUUCUAUGCAUUCGCUACAUUUUCAAAAAACUUGUGCAUGGUUGAAGAUUAUCCGGCAGAAUAUGUGGAUAACCAGCUGGCCGCCAUUAAUAACUGGGUACGGGAUACCGUGGGUCUCAACGAACUGAACAGCUCCUAUGAGAUAGCACCAGAAAACGAGCCAGCCACUUCAUUUCUAAAAGGCGACAAAGAAUCCGUGGAACCCAUUUAUUUUCUCGUUAUUGGGACAAUUUUCCUACUUGCAGUAAUUUCUUUAUUAAUGGUUAAAAUUCGGAGAUCUUGUUCUGUAUCUAUUAACCGCAGACAAGCCGCGACAAGAGUAGAGCGCAUGCAAAUGCUUAGCCUUUAACUUCUGUUGCGAUUUAUUCUUGAAUCUUGCGCGCCCUUAUAUCUGUGUUUAUUUGCGCGUGUUUAUUUUUUUUUCAAAAAUUUUUCGCGCUGCGUUUGGUACAAAAGAUUACUGGUGUAAGCGAACAAUCUUGUUUCUUCAGCAUUCGCGAUGCUACCAUUUUAUCA